GACGAACGCUGGCGGCGUGCUUAACACAUGCAAGUCGAACGGAAAGGCCCUGCUUGCAGGGUCCUCGAGUGGCGAACGGGUGAGUAACACGUGGGUGAUCUGCCCUGCACUUCGGGAUAAGCUUGGGAAACUGGGUCUAAUACCGGAUAGGAGCCAUCUUUAGUGUGGUGGUUGGAAAGUUUUUUCGGUGUAGGAUGAGCUCGCGGCCUAUCAGCUUGUUGGUGGGGUAAUGGCCUACCAAGGCGGCGACGGGUAGCCGGCCUGAGAGGGUGUACGGCCACAUUGGGACUGAGAUACGGCCCAGACUCCUACGGGAGGCAGCAGUGGGGAAUAUUGCACAAUGGGCGCAAGCCUGAUGCAGCGACGCCGCGUGGGGGAUGAAGGCCUUCGGGUUGUAAACUCCUUUCGCUAGGGACGAAGCUUUUUGUGACGGUACCUAGAUAAGAAGCACCGGCUAACUACGUG
rnacentral:rRNA from 1 species